AUUUGUUUUUUAAUACGUGUGUGAAAACCUUAAACUUACAUUUAUUCGUGUAUAUUUGGCAUGUGUGACCAUGUAUUCUUCUAUAUUUCGUGUAUACUAAACGGAAGGAGUACAACUAUAUCAGUUACGUUUAAAAGUGUGUGA
rnacentral:sRNA from 1 species